rnacentral:rRNA from 1 species
ACGAGUGGCGGACGGGUGAGUAAUGUCUGGGAAACUGCCCGAUGGAGGGGGAUAACUACUGGAAACGGUAGCUAAUACCGCAUAACGUCGCAAGACCAAAGAGGGGGACCUUCGGGCCUCUUGCCAUCGGAUGUGCCCAGAUGGGAUUAGCUAGUAGGUGGGGUAACGGCCCACCUAGGCGACGAUCCCUAGCUGGUCUGAGAGGAUGACCAGCCACACUGGAACUGAGACACGGUCCAG